rnacentral:misc_RNA from 1 species
CAGGACUCGCAAGACUCCUACAACCCUGUGAACCUACUAUACGAACGUUGCUUCGGCGGGUGCGCCCCGGGGAUUCGUUCCCGCGGCGCGUCAGCCCGCCGGCAGCCUACAAAUUCUGUUUCAUUGCGUUGGCAUCUCGAGAAAAACAAAUAAGUUA